AGAGUUUGAUCAUGGCUCAGAUUGAACGCUGGCGGCAGGCCUAACACAUGCAAGUCGAGCGGUAGCACAGAGAGCUUGCUCUCGGUGACGAGCGGCGGACGGGUGAGUAAUGUCUGGGAAACUGCCUGAUGGAGGGGGAUAACUACUGGAAACGGUAGCUAAUACCGCAUAACGUCGCAAGACCAAAGUGGGGGACCUUCGGGCCUCAUGCCAUCAGAUGUGCCCAGAUGGGAUUAGCUAGUAGGUGGGGUAAUGGCUCACCUAGGCGACGAUCCCUAGCUGGUCUGAGAGGAUGACCAGCCACACUGGAACUGAGACACGGUCCAGACUCCUACGGGAGGCAGCAGUGGGGAAUAUUGCACAAUGGGCGCAAGCCUGAUGCAGCCAUGCCGCGUGUGUGAAGAAGGCCUUCGGGUUGUAAAGCACUUUCAGCGGGGAGGAAGGCGUUAAGGUUAAUAACCUUGGCGAUUGACGUUACCCGCAGAAGAAGCACCGGCUAACUCCGUGCCAGCAGCCGCGGUAAUACGGAGGGUGCAAGCGUUAAUCGGAAUUACUGGGCGUAAAGCGCACGCAGGCGGUCUGUCAAGUCGGAUGUGAAAUCCCCGGGCUCAACCUGGGAACUGCAUUCGAAACUGGCAGGCUAGAGUCUUGUAGAGGGGGGUAGAAUUCCAGGUGUAGCGGUGAAAUGCGUAGAGAUCUGGAGGAAUACCGGUGGCGAAGGCGGCCCCCUGGACAAAGACUGACGCUCAGGUGCGAAAGCGUGGGGAGCAAACAGGAUUAGAUACCCUGGUAGUCCACGCCGUAAACGAUGUCGAUUUGGAGGUUGUGCCCUUGAGGCGUGGCUUCCGGAGCUAACGCGUUAAAUCGACCGCCUGGGGAGUACGGCCGCAAGGUUAAAACUCAAAUGAAUUGACGGGGGCCCGCACAAGCGGUGGAGCAUGUGGUUUAAUUCGAUGCAACGCGAAGAACCUUACCUGGUCUUGACAUCCACAGAACUUUCCAGAGAUGGAUUGGUGCCUUCGGGAACUGUGAGACAGGUGCUGCAUGGCUGUCGUCAGCUCGUGUUGUGAAAUGUUGGGUUAAGUCCCGCAACGAGCGCAACCCUUAUCCUUUGUUGCCAGCGGUUAGGCCGGGAACUCAAAGGAGACUGCCAGUGAUAAACUGGAGGAAGGUGGGGAUGACGUCAAGUCAUCAUGGCCCUUACGACCAGGGCUACACACGUGCUACAAUGGCAUAUACAAAGAGAAGCGACCUCGCGAGAGCAAGCGGACCUCAUAAAGUAUGUCGUAGUCCGGAUUGGAGUCUGCAACUCGACUCCAUGAAGUCGGAAUCGCUAGUAAUCGUAGAUCAGAAUGCUACGGUGAAUACGUUCCCGGGCCUUGUACACACCGCCCGUCACACCAUGGGAGUGGGUUGCAAAAGAAGUAGGUAGCUUAACCUUCGGGAGGGCGCUUACCACUUUGUGAUUCAUGACUGGGGUGAAGUCGUAACAAGGUAACCGUAGGGGAACCUGCGGUUGGAUCACCU
rnacentral:rRNA from 1 species